rnacentral:rRNA from 1 species
UACAGAGGGUGCGAACGUUGCUCGGAAUCACUGGGCGUAAAGCGCGUGUAGGCGGGCGAUCAAGUCAGGCGUGAAAUCCCCGGGCUCAACCCGGGAACUGCGUCUGAAACUGGUUGCCUUGAGUGUCGGAGAGGGAAGCGGAAUUCCUGGUGUAGAGGUGAAAUUCGUAGAUAUCAGGAGGAACACCGGUGGCGAAGGCGGCUUCCUGGACGACUACUGACGCUGAGACGCGAAAGCGUGGGGAGCAAACAGG